UGUCCGUGCGGGGUCCCGUAC
rnacentral:misc_RNA from 1 species